rnacentral:rRNA from 1 species
UCAAAGAAACGAAGGCUUACGGUGGAGACCUAGGCACUCAGAGACGAUGAAGGGCGCAGAUACCGGCGAUACGCUUCGGGGAGCUGGUAACAAGCAUCGAUCCGAAGAUCCCCGAAUAGGGCAACCUCUCAAAGAACUCCUUUUUGAAUUCAUAGAAAAGGAAGAGGCAACCCGGUGAACUGAAACAUCUCAGUAGCCGGAGGAAAAGAAAGCAAAAGCGAUUCCCGGAGUAGCGGCGAGCGAAAUGGGAACAGCCUAAACCACUUUACUUUUGUAAGUGGGGUUGUGGGAAUCCAAAUUCAUGCGCAAUGCGCAUAAAUCAAAAAAAGAUGAGACGAAGCAGCUGAAUCCUGCACCAUAGAUGGUGAAAGUCCAGUAGUCAAAAACUUUCAAACCUUGGAAAAUCCCGAGUAGCAUGGGACACGUGGAAUCCCGUGUGAAUCAGCGAGGACCACCUCGUAAGGCUAAAUACUCCUGAGUGACCGAUAGUGAAGAAGUACAGCGAUGGAAAGGUGAAAUAGAACCCCCUGUAGGGGAGUGAAAGAGAACAUGAAACCGUAAGCUGACAAGCAGUGGGAGGAUAAUCUGACCGCGUGCCUGUUGAAGAAUGAGCCGGCGACUUAUAGGAAGUGGCAGGGUUAAGGAGUUAUAUCCGGAGCCCAAGCGAAAGCGAGUCUGAAUAGGGCGACAAAGUCACUUCUUAUGGACCCGAACCUGGAUGAUCUAAUCAUGGCCAGGUUGAAGCUUGGGUAACACCAAGUCGAGGACCGAACCGACCGAUGUUGAAAAAUCGGCGGAUGAGCUGUGAUUAGGGGUGAAAUUCCAAUCGAAUUCAGAGCUAGCUGGAUCUCCCCGAAAUGCGUUGAGGCGCAGCGGCAACGAUGUCCUGUCUAAGGGUAGAGCGACUGUUUCGGUGCGGGCUGCGAAAGCGGUACCAAGUCGUGGCAAACUCCGAAUAUUAGGCAAUGGAUUCCGUAAGCCAGUGAGACUGUGGGAGAUAAGUUCCAUAGUCAAGAGGGAAACAGCCCAGACCAUCAGCUAAGGCCCCUAAAUGAUUGCUAAGUGGAAAAGGAUGUGAGAAUGCUGAAACAACCAGGAGGUUCGCUUAGAAGCAGCUAUUCCUUGAAAGAGUGCGUAAUAGCUCACUGGUAAAGCGUUCUUGCGCCGACAAUGGCCGGGACUAAGCAAUCUGCCGAAGCUAUGGGAUUUGUUCUUUAUUUUUUCCUUUUAGAAAAAUAAAUAGAAACGAAUCGGUAGGGGAGCGUUCUGCACUGGGUGAAGCUUUGAUGGAAGUCUUGGUGGACGGUGCGGAAGUGAGAAUGUCGGCUUGAGUAACGAAAACAUUGGUGAGAAUCCAAUGCCCCGAAAACCUAAGGGUUCCUCUACAAGGUUCGUCCGUGGGGGGUGAGUCAGGACCUAAGGCGAGGCCGAGCGGCGUAGUCGAUGGCAAACAGGUUAAUAUUCCUGUACUCAUUUUUGUGGGAACCGAGGGACGAAGAAAGCGAAAUUGGGUCUGUCUUUGGUAUGGCAGUGGAAGCGUUCAAGGUGUUGAGAGGUCGAAAAAAAACGAAUCUUGAGCUGAGGCGUGAUCCCGCUUUCUAGACUUGUUCUGGAUAAGCGCCAAUGAUGUUAUACUUCCAAGAAAAGCUCGUACACCUCUAGAAGCAAUUCUAGAAAAACACAAAAAUGACCUGUACCUGAAACCGACACAGGUAGGUUGGUAGAGAAUACUAAGGGGCGCGAGAGAACUCUCUCUAAGGAACUCGGCAAACUAGCCCCGUAACUUCGGGAGAAGGGGCGCCCUCUUUAACGGGAGGGUCGCAGUGACGAGGUUCUGGCAACUGUUUAUCAAAAACACAGGUCUCCGCAAAGUCGUAAGACAAUAUAUGGGGGCUGACGCCUGCCCAGUGCCGGAAGGUCAAGGAAGUUGGUUAUAAAUCUUCGGAUUUAGAAGCUGACGACCGAAGCCCCGGUGAACGGCGGCUGUAACAAUGACAGUCCUAAGGUAGCGAAAUUCAUUGUCGAGUAAGUUUCGACCUGCACGAAAGGCGUAAUGAUCAGAACGCUGUCUCGGAGAGAGGCUCGGUGAAAUAGACUUGUCCGUGAAGAUGCGGACUACUAAUACUUGGACAGAAAGACCCUAUGAAGCUUGACUGUAUCCUGGAAUUGGGUUCGGGCUUUUCUUGCGCAGUCUAGGUGGGAGGCUAUGAAGAUUUCCUUCCGGGGAAGUUGGAGCCGUCAGUGAGAGACCACUCUGGAGAGGCUAGAAUCCUAAUGGUGAUCCUUGAAUCAGGACACUUGACAGUUUCAGGUGGGCAGUUUUUCUGGGGCGGAAGCCUCAUAAAGGGUAACUGAGGCGCGCAAAGGUUCCCUCAGUCUGGACGGAAAUCAGACAACGAGUGUAAAGGCAAAAGGGAGCUUGACUGCAAGACCUACAAGUCGAGCAGGAGCGAAAGCUGGCCUUAGUGAUCCGACGGUACCGUGUGGAAGGGCCGUCGCUCAACGAAUAAAAGUUACUCUAGGGAUAACAGGCUGAUCUUCUCCAAGAGUUCACAUCGACGAGAAGGUUUGGCACCUCGAUGUCGGCUCAUCACAUCCUGGGGCUGUAGUAGGUCCCAAGGGUUGGGCUGUUCGCCCAUUAAAGUGGUACGUGAGCUGGGUUCAGAACGUCGUAAGACAGUUCGGUCCAUAUCCGGUAUUAGCGUUAGAAUAUUGAGGUCAGUCACUCAUAGUACGAGAGGACCUGUAGUGAACAUGCCAAUGGUGUACCUGUUAUCUUUCCAAAGGUAAACGCAGGGUAGCCACGCAUGGAGUGAAUAAGUACUGAAUGCAUCUAAGUACGAAGUCCAGACCAAGAUGAGUAUUCUCCAUAAAGCCGCAGCAAGACAAGCUGUUUUAUAGGUAUCAAGUGUAAGGCC